UACGUAGGGGGGCUAGCGUUGCUCGGAUUGACUGGGCGUAAAGGGCGCGUAGGCGGUUCGUACAGUCAGACGUGAAAUUCCUGGGCUCAACCUGGGGGCUGCGUUUGAUACGUGCGGACUUGAGUGCGGAAGAGGGUCGUGGAAUUCCCAGUGUAGAGGUGAAAUUCGUAGAUAUUGGGAAGAACACCGGUGGCGAAGGCGGCGACCUGGUCCGAUACUGACGCUGAGGCGCGAAAGCGUGGGGAGCAAACAGG
rnacentral:rRNA from 1 species